rnacentral:rRNA from 1 species
CCUACGGGAGGCAGCAGUAGGGAAUAUUGCUCAAUGGGGGAAACCCUGAAGCAGCAACGCCGCGUGGAGGAUGAAGGUUUUCAGAUUGUAAACUCCUUUUGUUAGAGAAGAUAAUGACGGUAGCUAACGAAUAAGCACCGGCUAACGCCGUGCCAGCAGCCGCGGUAAGACGGAGGGUGCAAGCGUUACACGGAAUCACUGGGCGUAAAGAGCGCGGAGGCGGGAUAGCAAGUCAGAUGUGUAAUCCCAUGGCUUACCCAUAGAACUGCAUUUGAAACUGGUAUUCUAGAGUGUGGGUGAGGUAGCUGGAAUUCUUGGUGUAGGGGUAAAAUCCGUAGAGAUCAAGAGGAAUACUCAUUGCGAAGGCGACCUGCUAGACCAUAACUGACGCUGCUGCGCGAAAGCGUGGGGAGCAAACAGGAUUAGAUACCCUUGUAGUC